GCAGAUAAAAAGGGUAUUGGGUGCGGAGGCGGGGGGAGGCCAACGGUGGGAGAAAGACAGGACUCCCUUAGGUGGUGACUAAGGCUCUAAGGAAAUGAUGCCUGGGCUGAAACCCGGGGGGUAAAGAAUGAUUCCAAUUAUUCAAACAUCCCAGGUCAACUCAGAAUUUAAAGUGACUCUUAAAUUAAGACUUACAAGAGUAUAGCAGGGUUAUUUAUUAUAGACAAAAAACCAAAAGCGAUUCAGGGACCCAUCAACAGGAAAAUGGAUAAACGAACAAAAAGGCGUAAUUCUACAAUGAAAGACUACACAAUUGAGAAAAAAUUAUAUGCAACAUUGAUGAAUAUCUAAAACAUGUGUCCUACAUAAGGGAUGGUUCUUUUUCUGGCUUCAUUAAGUAUGACUUCAUUAAGA